AACGAACGCUGGCGGCAUGCCUAACACAUGCAAGUCGAACGAGACCUUCGGGUCUAGUGGCGCACGGGUGCGUAACGCGUGGGAACCUGCCCUUAGGUUCGGAAUAACUCCCCGAAAGGGGUGCUAAUACCGGAUAAUGUCUUCGGACCAAAGAUUUAUCGCCUUUGGGUGGGCCCGCGUUGGAUUAGCUAGUUGGUAGGGUAAAAGCCUACCAAGGCGACGAUCCCAAGCUGGUCUGAGAGGAUGAUCAGCCACCCUGGGACUGGAACCCGGCCCAAACCUUCCGGGAGGGGCGAAAGGGGGAAAUUGGAAAAACGGGUGAAAGCUGAAUCUCGAAAGGCCGGGGAAGUGUGUAAGGCGUGAGGGUUGAAAGUCUCUUUAACCAGGGACGAUAAGAAGGUACCCGGGGAAAAAGCCCCGGCUAACUACGUG
rnacentral:rRNA from 1 species